rnacentral:rRNA from 1 species
CACGUAGGGUGCGAGCGUUGUCCGGAAUUAUUGGGCGUAAAGAGCUCGUAGGCGGUGUGUCACGUCGGCCGUGAAAACCUGCAGCUUAACUGUGGGCUUGCGGUCGAUACGGGCAUCACUGGAGUUCGGGCAGGGGAGACUGGAAUUCCUGGUGUAGCGGUGAAAUGCGCAGAUAUCAGGAGGAACACCGGUGGCGAAGGCGGGUCUCUGGGCCGAUACUGACG